rnacentral:rRNA from 1 species
AUAGGGGAGCCGUAGGGAAACCGAGUCUUAACUGGGCGAAUGAGUUGCAGGGUAUAGACCCGAAACCCGGUGAUCUAUCCAUGGGCAGGUUGAAGGUUGGGUAACACUAACUGGAGGACCGAACCGACUAAUGUUGAAAAAUUAGCGGAUGACUUGUGGAUGGGGGUGAAAGGCCAAUCAAACCGGGAGAUAGCUGGUUCUCCCCGAAAGCUAUUUAGGUAGCGCCUCGUGAACUCAUCUUCGGGGGUAGAGCACUGUUUCGACUAGGGGGUCAUCCCGACUUACCAACUCGAUGCAAACUGCGAAUACCGAAGAAUGUUAUCACGGGAGACACACGGCGGGUGCUAACGUCCGUCGUGAAGAGGGAAACAACCCAGACCGCCAGCUAAGGUCCCAAAGUCAUGGUUAAGUGGGAAACGAAGUGGGAAGGCUCAGACAGCCAGGAUGUUGGCUUAGAAGCAGCCAUCAUUUAAAGAAAGCGUAAUAGCUCACUGGUCGAGUCGGCCCGCGCGGAAGAUGUAACGGGGCUAAACCAUGCACCGAAGCUGCGGCAGCGACACAAAGUGUUGUUGGGUAGGGGAGCGUUCUGUAAGCCUGCGAAGGUGUACUGUGAGGUAUGCUGGAGGUAUCAGAAGUGCGAAUGCUGACAUAAGUAACGAUAAUGCGGGUGAAAAACCCGCACGCCGGAAGACCAAGGGUUCCUGUCCAACGUUAAUCGGGGCAGGGUGAGUCGACCCCUAAGGCGAGGCUGAAAAGCGUAGUCGAUGGGAAACGGGUUAAUAUUCCCGUACUGGUGGUAACUGCGAUGGGGGAACGGAGAAGGCUAGGUUGUCCGGGCGACGGUCGUCCCGGUUCAAGCAGGUAGGCAGAGUGAUUAGGCAAAUCCGGUCACUUAAUGCUGAGAUGUGAUGACGAACCACCAAGGUGGUGAAGCAAUUGAUGCCCCGCUUCCAGGAAAAGCCUCUAAGCUUCAGGUUACCAACAAUCGUACCCCAAACCGACACAGGUGGUCAGGUAGAGAAUACUCAGGCGCUUGAGAGAACUCGGGUGAAGGAACUAGGCAAAAUGGUGCCGUAACUUCGGGAGAAGGCACGCUGGCGGUAGGUAAAGUCCCU